GACGAACGCUGGCGGCGUGCCUAAUACAUGCAAGUAGAACGCUGAAGGAGGAGCUUGCUUCUCUGGAUGAGUUGCGAACGGGUGAGUAACGCGUAGGUAACCUGCCUGGUAGCGGGGGAUAACUAUUGGAAACGAUAGCUAAUACCGCAUAAUAGCAGUUGUUGCAUGAUAACUGUUUGAAAGGUGCAAUUGCACCACUACCAGAUGGACCUGCGUUGUAUUAGCUAGUUGGUGGGGUAACGGCUCACCAAGGCGACGAUACAUAGCCGACCUGAGAGGGUGAUCGUCCACACCGGGACUGAGACACGGCCCAGACUCCUACGGGAGGCAGCAGUAGGGAAUCUUCGGCAAGGGACGGAAGUCGGACCGAGCAACGCCGCGUGAGUGAAGAAGGUUUUCGGAUCGUAAAGCUCUGUUGUAAGAGAAGAACGAGUGUGAGAGUGGAAAGUUCACACUGUGACGGUAUCUUAACAGAAAGGGACGGCUAACUACGUG
rnacentral:rRNA from 1 species